UUAAUUGGAGAUUCUUUCUGCACCCCGCAAAUAUGGCUUCUCCCUCGCCCCCCACUUAUUUCCAACAUAUUCCUUUAUUAGCUUCCCAUAGAUUUUUUUUAUAUAUCAUCAAUUCAUGUAUAAAACUUGAAAACACUCACCAAUCUUGUUGCCUAACCAGUCCCACAGUCCUCCAUUUCAAAUCUGCAUCCUGGAGGAGAUGUCUUCUGAGAAAGCCAAUGUUGGUGAUCUCAAUGCUUCCACCAGCAACAAACAAGCUAUUCUUCCAAACAAAACGCCUAGCACAAGCAACUCUAAUUUUGAGAAAGUACUUGCACAGAGAGCACUUUUUGGAUCGAGGAAUUAUCGCACUAGGGGAAGAAAAAUCAAGAACAAUGGUGCUAACUUGUUGCCGAGCAGGCUAAGCAAGGUUUCUUUGGCUGAUGAUUCGUCCGACUAAGGCUUGACUAAUCAUGAGAUGUGACCGUGGACAUGCUACAUCUUCAACGAAUGUAAAAACCCUUCAACAAUGCAUAGAUGUUUUCGCGAGAGAGAAAUCAAAUUUUUGCAAUGUAAAAUUUGGAAGAAUAAAUGAACUGUUUUUAGAAACGAA